rnacentral:rRNA from 1 species
UACAGAGGUCUCAAGCGUUGUUCGGAUUCAUUGGGCGUAAAGGGUGUGUAGGUGGCGCGCUAAGUCGGGUGUGAAAUUUCGGAGCUUAACUCCGAAACUGCAUUCGAUACUGGCGUGCUUGAGGACUGGAGAGGAGACUGGAAUUCAUGGUGUAGCGGUGAAAUGCGCAGAUAUCGUAAGGAAGACCAGUGGCGAAGGCGGGUCUCUGGACAGUUCCUGACGCUGAGGCACGAAGGCCAGGGGAGCAAACGGG